GAUGAACGCUAGCUACAGGCUUAACACAUGCAAGUCGAGGGGUAACGAGAGGAAAGCUUGCUUUCCUUGUCGACGACCGGCGCACGGGUGAGUAACGCGUAUCCAACCUGCCCCCAACUAGGGAAUAACCUUGCGAAAGUAAGACUAAUACCCUAUAAUUUCCUCAGAUGCCAUCUGACGAGGAAUAAAGAUUUAUCGGUUGUGGAUGGGGAUGUGUCUGAUUAGCUUGUUGGCGGGGUAACGGCCCACCAAGGCAACGAUCAGUAGGGGUUAUGAGAUGAAGAUCCCCACCAUCGGAACUGAGACACGGUCGAAACUCAUACGGGCGGCAGGAGUGAGGGAUCGUGGUCAAUGGGCGGAAGGCUGAACCAGCCAAGUAGCGUGCAGGAUGACGGCCAUAUGGGUUGUAAGCUGCUUUUAUACAGGAAUAAAGUUAGCCACGUGUGGUUAUUUGUAGGUACUGUAUGAAUAAGGACCGGCUAAUUCCGUGCCAGCCGCCGCAGUAA
rnacentral:rRNA from 1 species